rnacentral:tRNA from 1 species
UAUUGUUAUUUUGGCAGAUUAGUGCAUUAAAUUUAGAAUUUAAUUAUGUAUAUUAUUACAAAUAAUAC